rnacentral:rRNA from 1 species
UGCGUAGGUGGCGAGGUAAGUCGGAUGUGAAAGCUCGGAGCUCAACUCCGAAAUGGCAUUGGAAACUACCUUGCUCGAGGGUUGGAGGGGGGACUGGAAUACUUGGUGUAGCAGUGAAAUGCGUAGAUAUCAAGUAGAACACCAGUGGCGAAGGCGAGUCCCUGGACAACUCCUGACACUGAGGCACGAAAGCUAGGGGAGCAAACA